UACGUAGGGAGCGAGCGUUGUCCGGAAUUACUGGGUGUAAAGGGAGCGUAGGCGGGCGAGAAAGUUGAAUGUUAAAUCUACCGGCUUAACUGGUAGCUGCGUUCAAAACUUCUUGUCUUGAGUGAGGUAGAGGCAGGCGGAAUUCCUAGUGUAGCGGUGAAAUGCGUAGAUAUUAGGAGGAACACCAGUGGCGAAGGCGGCCUGCUGGGCUUUAACUGACGCUGAGGCUCGAAAGCGUGGGGAGCAAACAGG
rnacentral:rRNA from 1 species